ensembl:lncRNA
CUCACCAGUGCUGAGUAAAGGGGCAGGAUGACUUACUUCCCUAGUCCUGCUCACCACGCCGUUCCUGAUACAAGCCAGGAUGCCAUUGGCCUUCUUGGCCACCUGGGCACACUGCUGGCUCAUAUUCACCUGCCUGUCCAUCAGUACACUGCAGUCCCUUUCCAUCAGGCGGAUUUCCAGUCAUACAGAGUGCUAGAAAGAGACAUUGCCAGGGAAGAUCCACCUUUGCUUUCUGUGUUUUUUGUUUGUUUGUUUGUUUAUAGAGUCCCACAAGGUAAUACUGAUACUGACAAGUUAGGAUGAUUACAGCAGAGAAAUAGUAUGCUACUGACCCUCCUUUCCAAGUCAGGCAGCAUUUCCCUUUCCUUGCUGCAGGUGAUCUGCCCUGGCUUGCUGGCCAUUCUAUAAAACUCCAUACUUUAACUUUCUCUUUCCUUUUCUCUUGACUUCUUCAUAACUUUUCCUGAACCUUCUCGGAAGUCUGUCAUCUCCCACUUCAGUUCCACCUUGUCACUCUGGUUUGUCUUGGAGGCCAUUUAGGAGCUUCACAGCAAGGCCACACGCAGCUGUUUGCUAGUUGUUACUGCAUCACCAUGCAUUCAUUCGUCUCUGGUGAUGUACAGUUUGCACAACACAUCAUUUUCUGCCACUGAAAUUCAGACCUCCAAGGAAUGAAAUGAAAUGAAAAUGCUCUCAAAUUAAGCUGGUACAGAACUGAAGUCCUCAUGCUGUUUUGUUGCUAGUAAAUUUCAGUCAACAACUGCUUCCCUGUAACACGAAAUAAAAAGCCCAAGUUCUGAUCGUUAUCUGCAGCUACUGUUCUGUGGCUGACACACCAAUGGAAAACAACGAGCUGCUUCUGAAACUGCUCAUUUGGAAUUCACUUGAUGACAUUAUAAAAGGAUUUUCCCAAGUGCUAACAUCUUUUCUGUUCCUGAGGGUGGCAGCGAGUUGGUGAAACUAGUUAAUUCCAAACAGAAUUCUCUAUUGAAAAUUAGUUCAGUUAAAAAUAACCUACUGACAGCAUGCAGAAGAGCUUUAUUGGUUAUGGCCCAGAGAUGACAAAAAGUUAAGAAUGCUUCUGGUAUUAAUUCUUAAUUGCCUUUAUAUUGAAAGAAAAAGCAUUAAUAUAGAGUGGAUCCAGCGUAUUUUUUUUCCUCUUGUGGUACAGUGAUAGAAAAGACUGUUGCUAAGCUAAUAUCAAAUGGACAUAUCAGCAACUUCUGCUUUCGAUGAAAUCUCAAAGUCUAGGCAAAGAACUGAAGUAUAUCAAGUGUAGAAGAAUGACGUCUAUUUUAUGGGGCAAAUGCAUUUUGUCUCACUUUUACAGUAGUAGCAGUAGGAAUUAUAUAAUACUACAUCUAAAUAUGAUGUCUGUUGACAAGGUUUGUGUCUUUUUGCAAGAGAGCUGCUCACAGAUGGGCCACAAGCAGGCGGCACCAGACUAGGUGCUAUAUUGCCAGCGCUUUGACUGCUGCCCACAGGCUGAAGUGAAGGCACAGAACCAGACACUUGCUUUCAUGUCUGACUCUCUGACUAUCUCUUUGAGAUAGGGCUUCCUUUAGUACUCAUUUAAAACUUAUUUACAUUUAAU